UACGGGGGGUGCGAGCGUUGUCCGGAAUCACUGGGCGUAAAGCGCACGUAGGCGGCUUCUUAAGUCGGUGGUGAAAUCCUGGAGCUCAACUCCAGAACUGCCUUCGAUACUGGGAAGCUCGAGUCCGGGAGAGGUGAGUGGAACUGCGAGUGUAGAGGUGAAAGUCGUAGAUAUUCGCAAGAACACCAGUGGCGAAGGCGGCUCACUGGCCCGGUACUGACGCUGAGGUGCGAAAGCGUGGGGAGCAAACAGG
rnacentral:rRNA from 1 species